GAGGCUGCAAAGAGGAAAGGAGAGGAAGUGCAUUAUCAGACCAGUCUCAAAGUUUGAUAAGGUGGCAUGCUUGCAGCGAGAAGUCAAACACAGCUUCCCCCCUGAGAAUGAUCAGAAAUCUGAAAAGUGGAAAUUUGCUUGCUAGGAACCAUAAUUUCUGAUCUAAUGGAGGUUGGCUAUGAUAUAAUUCCUGUUACAGAGCAAUUGAUCAAACUAUGUAUUGGUAGUCACCUCAGCUAUACUUCCUGUGAGCAGAAAUUACUUGCAAAGUUUUGUAUAAAGGAGAACAAAGCUCAGCAGGUUAGUUCAAAUGAAAUGUUGUCAGAGGUCAGCACUUUCUCCAGCAGGAGCUAUCCAAACAUUCACAUUGUAAUUUCCAUUCUCCAUUCUGUUUCUCAAAUGUCGCAACAGAGAAUUGUUUCUGUGAGGUGAAUGAAGAAGAGCCAGGAUGGAGCAAAAGAUCAUCAAUGCAUUUGUACAUGUACAAUUUCUCUUCCCAAGCAAUGAAUACUAUAUAGAUGGUUUUUAUUGGCAUCCUGAAAGCAUUUAUUUUGAUUAUCCCUGGUGCCACAAUGCAUUUGGAAUGUGAAAAUACUGCUGUGUCUUUAAGCAAGGUGGUUUGAGCAGAUAGGCAUGAAGACGAUCUAGCGUAGAAUGUUUGCUAAUAUCCAACCAUUACUAUAAAUUAUUGGCAUGUAAAAUGUCUUAGGGAAAAGGGUAUUUAGCAGGGAUGGACACAUCUGUCAAUGUUGGUUUCUCUUGGUUUCUCAUUUUUCAAAUCUAGUCUGUCUCAUUUCUGCAUCAGUUUGUGAACUCUUUUUAAAAGUCAGCCCAAAAAUUCAUAUACAUUGUGCAUGUUGGCGCUCAUUUUCCACUAAUAUGUGUUUUGUUUUAGGUAUUUUUGUAUACAUUGUCUGGCUGGACAGCUAUAUCACAAAAUUCAGAGAAAUGUGGAUUUUUUUGAAGGAGAGCUGAAUUUUAGUUCACGUAUUGAUUUGGUAAGUACAAAGCAGGUAGGUUUUCAUUAAAAUGUGAACUCAAAAAAAUUGUUUCCUCAUUGCUAGUUUUAGUAAGAUUGAGCCAAAUAUGCACCCCUUUCAGAGAGAUGAUUCAUCUCCUGCAAAUAUUGGAUCUUUUUUGCACAGUUGCAAAAGUGGUAGAAUGUUGCUGUUAUCCUUUCUACCCAUCAACACUCAGCACCUGGGCAGAUGGUCACUCAAGUCACCAGGUUACACUUCCACACAACUAUGGGAUGCAUUUAUAUGUAAAUUAUAGUAAUUAUUUUAGCAUUUGCUUUCCCACAACUAAAUCAGCAUAUGCAUAUUUUAUGUAAAUCUGUGUCCACUUUCGUCUUCUAUUUUGGUGG